UUUCGCAAUGCCCGAAAGGGUGACGAAGCGACGCCGCGUGCGGGAAGAAGGCCUUCGGGUUGUAAACCGCUGUCGGGAGUUAAGAAAUGUAAGGAUGUUAAUAGCAUCUUUGCUUGACUAAGGCUCCGGAGGAAGCCACGGCUAACUCUGUGCCAGCAGCCGCGGUAAUACAGAGGCGGCAAGCGUUGUUCGGAAUUAUUGGGCGUAAAGAGCACGUAGGCGGCUAUGUAAGUCGGUUGUGAAAGCCUUCCGCUCAACGGGAGAACAGCAUCCGAUACUGCAUGGCUUGAGUGCGGGAGGGGAGAGUGGAACUUCUGGUGGAGCGGUGAAAUGCGUAGAUAUCAGAAGGAACGCCGGCGGCGAAAGCGGCUCUCUGGCCCAUAACUGACGCUGAGUGUGCGAAAGCUAGGGGAGCAAACGGGAUUAGAUACCCCGGUAGUCCUAGCCGUAAACGAUGGGCACUAAGUAGAGGGGUAUU
rnacentral:rRNA from 1 species